CAAUAAUUAUACUAAAAGAUGACAGCAUUUUGAGAAGAGCAUAUCCUAAUUUUAGAAAAAAGGUACCUAGUAAACAAAUGAAGAUUUUGAUGAGAAAAUCUGAAGGAUUCACAUAUCUGCAUAUUAUAGAGUAAACAUUUUGUAAAGGUCUUCAUGUGGUCCAAAAGAAAAUUAAUUCAUACCCUGGCUAGUAAGUGACGAUAAAUAAAUUAUAUCUUUAUGAACCCAGCAAUUGUAUUUAUUGUUUGAUUAUAUUAUUCUAAUAUUUCAUAACUAGAGACUCUCAAGAGCCUGUGUCGCUCACCUUGGUCUAUGUGCAUAUUAAACAAUGGACACAGACAAAUUCAUGACAAAAUUGUGUUUUGGUGAUAGUGAUGUGUUUUAGAUCUUUC
rnacentral:lncRNA from 1 species